UGUUUUCCUUGGGAGCCAGAAAUGUGCGUGCGGCGUUGUUUGGGGCAGUGGGUCUAAGGAGUACAUAAGAACACAAUACAGUGCUUAAGGAUUCUGAACUUGCAGAAAUCACCAUGAUCCAUAUUUCCUACCCACUCCUGUCUAUGGCCAAUGGUAUUGCAGCUCAAAUCCAGCUAAGAAGUCUUAGUGAAAUGAAGAAGUUGGACUUCCUUGUUUUACUAUUAUCUCAUACUGCCCCUUCUUUUCUGGAGAGAGAAAGGAAAAAGAGAAGGGAGAGGAAAAAAACUGAAACUGGAGAAAGGAGAAUUGAGAUGUUUUCAGGACCCGAGAUGAAAUAUUUUGUGCUGAAUUUGAAGCAUUUUAUUCAGUGAAACACCUGUUCCUCUAAAAGUGGUGGUUGCAUUUCCUGUGAUGUUGCCUUCUACUUAAGAGCACGUGCCUGCCUGAGCCCCAGCAGUGUGUGGGCAGAGCUGACAGUCACUGAGUGAGUGGAGCAAACGCUGAAGCACUGAGAGAAAAUCUGCAGAGCAGCAGAACUUGCCCAGAAGGAUAUUCUGUGAGUGCAGCAAGUCAACUGGCAAGCACAGAACAGCCCCACCUGAGCCCAGAAAGUGGAUUUGGGAUUGCCCUGAGCUGCUUCCCAGUGCCUGCUGAGGAACACGGAGAAGUGCACUUUUAACACCCAGCAACAGAGAGUGAGAGCUGCUGCUGCUCAGAAGGCACAGAUUCCAUCUUAUAUGUUACAAGCCAGCUCUUAACUGCAUUCAGCUAAAGUAACAGGCCUAAGGUCUUUUAUCAUCUCUACAUGAAAGAAACAUGUUUUAACCUAGCCCACGUGGAUUUGAUAGCUCUAUCUUUGUAGCCUUUUCUGCAGUACUCCCCAAUGGCUGAUAAUAAUAUGUACUCAACCACCUUUAGGCCACUGUUGGGUCGAAUUGGAAAAAAUAUAGUAGUUCCCAAAACUUAAAACCCCUGCAUAGGUGACAAGAGGAAAAAUAAAGUGUAAGUCCAGGCAAAAUCCUAGAGGUGGUGUAGUCAGGUGGGCAGCAGGUUUAGUGGUGAUCUGAGGGGGAUUGAAUGCCUCAUGCAAAGAGGGUCUCCACACAGAGCUGCUGACAGCCUGCA